AGGAUGAACGCUGGCGGCGUGCUUAACACAUGCAAGUCGAACGGUGAAAGUGGGAGCUUGCUCCUGCUGGAUCAGUGGCGAACGGGUGAGUAACACGUGAGUAACCUGCCCUUGGCUCUGGGAUAAGCGCUGGAAACGGCGUCUAAUACCGGAUACGAGCUUCGGAGGCAUCUCCAGGAGCUGGAAAGAACUUCGGUCAAGGAUGGACUCGCGGCCUAUCAGCUAGUUGGUGAGGUAACGGCUCACCAAGGCGACGACGGGUAGCCGGCCUGAGAGGGUGACCGGCCACACUGGGACUGAGACACGGCCCAGACUCCUACGGGAGGCAGCAGUGGGGAAUAUUGCACAAUGGGCGCAAGCCUGAUGCAGCAACGCCGCGUGAGGGACGACGGCCUUCGGGUUGUAAACCUCUUUUAGUAGGGAAGAAGCGAAAGUGACGGUACCUGCAGAAAAAGCACCGGCUAACUACGUGCCAGCAGCCGCGGUAAUACGUAGGGUGCAAGCGUUAUCCGGAAUUAUUGGGCGUAAAGAGCUCGUAGGCGGUUUGUCGCGUCUGCUGUGAAAACCCGAGGCUCAACCUCGGGCCUGCAGUGGGUACGGGCAGACUAGAGUGCGGUAGGGAGAAUGGAAUUCCUGGUGUAGCGGUGGAAUGCGCAGAUAUCAGGAGGAACACCGAUGGCGAAGGCAGUUCUCUGGGCCGUAACUGACGCUGAGGAGCGAAAGCGUGGGGAGCGAACAGGAUUAGAUACCCUGGUAGUCCACGCCGUAAACGUUGGGCGCUAGAUGUGGGGACCAUUCCACGGUUUCCGUGUCGCAGCUAACGCAUUAAGCGCCCCGCCUGGGGAGUACGGCCGCAAGGCUAAAA
rnacentral:rRNA from 1 species